rnacentral:rRNA from 1 species
GAACGGCUGGCGGCGUGCUUAAUACAUGCAAGUCGAACGGUGAAGCAGGAGCUUGCUCCUGUGGAUCAGUGGCGAACGGGGUGAGUAACACGUGAGUAACCUGCCCUUGACUCUGGGAUAAGCGUUGGAAACGACGUCUAAUACCGGAUACGAGCUUCGGAGGCAUCUCCAGGAGCUGGAAAGAACUUCGGUCAAGGAUGGACUCGCGGCCUAUCAGCUAGUUGGUGAGGUAACGGCCCACCAAGGCGACGACGGGUAGCCGGCCUGAGAGGGUGACCGGCCACACUGGGACUGAGACACGGCCCAGACUCCUACGGGAGGCAGCAGUAGGGAAUAUUGCACAAUGGGCGCAAGCCUGAUGCAGCAACGCCGCGUGAGGGACGACGGCCUUCGGGUUGUAAACCUCUUUUAGUAGGGAAGAAGCGAAAGUGACGGUACCUGCAGAAAAAGCACCG